GGCUUAUACUAUAGGCCUUAUCAACGCUAGGCCUAAUUGUCACCUUCUGUAGUAAAACACACACACACGAGAGGACCGAGAAAUAGGUCACGUUUUUCACUUGAUAGCUCUAUUCAUGUAGCUUGUCUUACUUUCAAGAAAGUAGACCAAGGAACAGGAGUGCAUAACAGGUAGCUCAAACUAGGUAAUUAUGCAAAUAUAGAUUGGAAUCGGCAUUAGUUACAAGUAUGGAAAAAUCUCAAACUGAAACAACGGAUGUAGAAAGGAGUCUUACUGACAUGACGUUAAAAGUGCCAGAGGGCAGCAGUAGAGACCAGCCAAUUAUACUAGUAAAUGAUGAUAGCAACUUCGUAAAAGACAAGGAGCCACAAGUGUCACCACAGGAAAAAGGUAGAGCAUCAUCUCUUUGGUUCAUUUGAGUGGAAGACCCACGUCUACUCUUGUGGCUGUUGUGAUCAGAAUUCAUUUGACAUACUGUAUAAAGGGUUAUUUUCACCCCAUGUUAUUUUCACCUUUCAACUUGCAAACGGUUUCGACCCGUCUUAAA